rnacentral:piRNA from 1 species
UUAGCGUGAUCUCGGGUGCGUGGCUGU